UCACUCUCCUCUUCUGAAAACAGAAAAGAUC
rnacentral:piRNA from 1 species